UACGGAGGGUGCGAGCGUUGUCCGGAAUCACUGGGCGUAAAGGGCGCGUAGGCGGCAUGCCAAGCGUGUGGUGAAAGCCCGGGGCUCAACCCCGGGUCGGCCGUGCGGACUGGCGUGCUCGAGCACUGUAGGGGCGGGUGGAAUUCCGGGUGUAGCGGUGGAAUUCGUAGAUAUUGGGAAGAACACCGAUGGCGAAGGCAGCCAUCUGGACCGACACUGACGCUGAGGCGCGAAAGCGUGGGGAGCAAACAGG
rnacentral:rRNA from 1 species